UCGCAAAGCAGUAUUAUCAGUUUAUAAAUAUAAGUCGGAGACAAAAACGUUGAUAGAGAAGACGUCCUAUGAGAAGUGGACCGGUAAAAAGCCAACCGUGCCACAUUUAAGAAUAUUCGGCUCAAAGGUUAUUCAUUAACAUGCAAAUAAAUCGCAAACCAGUAUUAUCAGUUUAGCUCGCUAUCGACUUGUCACUGUUGAACGCAUUGCUUGUCACCGAUGCCUUAUGGAGGUUAUGGACGAUCAGCGGGUAUCUUCGUGCCAAUUCGCCGCAAUUAAAAGUGAUGGAGCAAACUCACUAGCAUUUUGGGAUGAUCCGAGUUCGAGUCGUCUCAAUGUUCCCUGGAUCCCACUCCUUUGUUCCUGAUUUGUCUCAGUUGUCCCCGGCGAUCUCCUCUUGGUGGCUGCGUUGGAUUAUUCCGCCUGUUGUUGCCGCCGUUUAAGGACGAUAGAGGAUCAGGCGACUCUAUCCAUCCCUACAGAAAGCUGAAUAGAUCGCCUCAGAGAUGAGCUGGCCAGGCUGGUGUCCAAACCAUUAUGAAUCGUGUCAGCAAGAGCAAGAUCUGAAUCUAUACUAUUUAGAGUUGAUGCCGUUGGUUCCAGACCCGAAGGAGGAAACCAUCUAACAAGCUGGAAGGGAUGCCCCGCUUAUUAGCUGCCAUUGCCAAGCUGCUCCACCAACCCCACCUGCUGCACGAAUGCUAGAAUCAUUGUUGGGAAUGCUAGAGUCAACUUGGGAACUU